CUCUGGAGCUAGUGAGGGACAAAAAGGAGUGAGCUCUUCUGAUCCUGGCAGAACAUAAGCUGAACAAGCUGUGGGGGAGCAGUAAAUUUUUUUUCUUUUGCAGGGCUGUUGUAGGAGGAGUGAAAAAGAAUACUGCCCUGGAGGGUAAUCUACUGUGAAGAUAUCUCCUAAUGCAAGACUAAUCUGAAAAGCAAGAUGAAUCAAACCUUCCAGUGUUUGCCCCUUUAUUUUCUUCCUGUUAAGAGGGCUCAGGCUCCUUCCUACUUGAUGCACAUGGCAUUCCAGAAGAUGAUUUGGGAAGCAC
ensembl:lncRNA